rnacentral:rRNA from 1 species
GAGCGGUAUUGUUUCUUCGGAAACGAGAGAGCGGCGCACGGGUGCGGAACACGUGUGCAACCUGCCUUUAUCCGGGGGGUAGCCUUUCGAAAGGAAGAUUAAUACCCCAUAAUAUUUUGAAUGGCAUCAUUUAAAAUUGAAAACUCCGGUGGAUAGAGAUGGGCACGCGCAAGAUUAGAUAGUUGGUAGGGUAACGGCCUACCAAGUCAGUGAUCUUUAGGGGGCCUGAGAGGGUGAUCCCCCACACUGGUACUGAGACACGGACCAGACUCCUACGGGAGGCAGCAGUGAGGAAUAUUGGACAAUGGGUGAGAGCCUGAUCCAGCCAUCCCGCGUGAAGGACGACGGCCCUAUGGGUUGUAAACUUCUUUUGUACAGGGAUAAACCUUUCCACGUGUGGAAAGCUGAAGGUACUGUACGAAUAAGCACCGGCUAACUCCGUG